rnacentral:lncRNA from 1 species
ACUUUUCUCAUCUAUUCAACUUGUAAUUAAAACAUCUAGUUAACAGUGAUAAAAAAUAGUAAAUUUAUAUCAAUUAAAAUAUGUUGCAUUUUUUUAUGAUUACAGAUAUGCAGUACACCGACUGGUAUCACGUAGCCAUAAUUAAGUGCACCUUUGUUUUAGUACAUUAUAUUUUAUAGGAUCUUGGCCUCUUCUGGUUGGUUCUGACAGCAUCGGCUUGCAUCCCUUUGCACUCUCCUCCCAGUGUACACUAUCUAUUCUACUCACAUAUUUUCUCCAACAGACAGAGCAUAUAGAUAAUAUUAGCACUCUGAAAUGGAUAAAUUAAUUUUCAAAUUUUAAAGAAUAGAGGAAAAGAUAAGUUGAUCUAUGUCUGUUUAAAAAAAAACAGUAAAAUUUUGUAGUGGUCAUAUUCAAAAAGUUAACAUUAACAUUUUUAUAAAUGGUUUUAUUUUCCUGAGAAUUUCUCCAAACUAAUUUGCUAUAUUCAAUCAUUUUUUGUAUACAGAUUAUAUUAGCCAAAUUCUGCUUAUAUUGCAUGCAGUAAUUGUGUAUAUCAAAUUUAUCAUAUGGAGACUAUGAGGAGUAGUUUGAAUAAUGAAUUCAGAGCCAUUAUGAAGUGUUUUUCUAGGACAAAAUAAACUAAACUAAAAUUUAACAACAUUUUUAAUACAUUAAUUGUAAAUGUUUUAAAAACCAAUGUGAUGUAUCAGUGUGGAAUUCACUAUUUUACUUCCUGAUAAAUUUAAAGGAAUUUCAUCAAAAUUGACAUAAUAUAAUUAAUAAUGACAUUUAUCAUAUUCCCCUCUCUGUCUCUCAUGUAUUGUUUAACUUACAUUGUUAGUGAGGAAUGUGAAAUAUAUGUAAUCAAAUACUUUAGUUAACUAAGAGUUAGUGGGUGUGCCAAUACUGAAAUUUCAGUACUACAAGAUGUUAAUUUAAUUAAUGUGCCAGUAAUUAAAUUAACGUUUUAUAAAGAACUAUAGAUAUAGAAUGUGAAAGCUAUUGUCUUUUAAUAGCUUAUAUAAAGUUAUAUGUGUGAACAUGAUUUCCCACCUUAGUAAAUCUCUGAUCCCAGUGUGUGUGCCUGUGUUUUUCAUGAAUACAUGUAAAAAAAAAAAAAUCUAGUUUUAACUAUUCUGAUAGUAUUCUAAAUAAAA